UCCACUGUAGUCUAGGCGGCUAGGAUAUACGGCUCUCACCCGCACGACCCGGGUUCGAGUCCCGGAAGUAGAU
rnacentral:tRNA from 1 species